rnacentral:sRNA from 1 species
GCCAGGCGCGGUGGCAGGUGCCUGUAAUCCCAGCUACUUGGGAGGCUGAGGCAGGGGCAUCGCUUGAACCCAGGAGGCGGAGGUUGCAGUGAGCCGAGAUUGCGCCACUGCACUCCAGCCUAGCAACAGAGCAAGACUCCAUUUCAGAAAAAAAAAAAAAAAAAUGUUCUUUGCUUUUUGAGACAGAGUCCUGCUGUGUCGCCAAGGCUGGAGUGCAGUGGUGUGAUCUCAGCUCACUGCAACCUUCACCUCCUGGGUUUAAGCAAUUCUCCUGCCUCA